GACGAACGCUGGCGGCGCGCCUAACACAUGCCAGUCGAACGAGCGAGAUAGAGCUUGCUUUCUCAAGCGAGUGGCGAACGGGUGAGUAACGCGUGAGGAACCUGCCUCAAAGAGGGGGACAACAGUUGGAAACGACUGCUAAUACCGCAUAAGCCCACAGGUCGGCAUCGACCAGAGGGAAAAGGAGCAAUCCGCUUUGAGAUGGCCUCGCGUCCGAUUAGCUAGUUGGUGAGGUAACGGCCCACCAAGGCAACGAUCGGUAGCCGGACUGAGAGGUUGAACGGCCACAUUGGGACUGAGACACGGCCCAGACUCCUACGGGAGGCAGCAGUGGGGAAUAUUGCACAAUGGGGGAAACCCUGAUGCAGCGACGCCGCGUGGAGGAAGAAGGUCUUCGGAUUGUAAACUCCUGUUGUGGAGGAAGAUAAUGACGGUACUCAACAAGGAAGUGACGGCUAACUACGUG
rnacentral:rRNA from 1 species